UACGUGAGGGGGCUAGCGUUGUCCGGAAUCAUUGGGCGUAAAGAGCGUGUAGGCGGCCCGGUAAGUCCGCUGUAAAAGUCAAAGGCUCAACCUUUGAAUGUCAGUGGAUACUGCCCGGGCUAGAGUCCGGAAGAGGCGAGUGGAACUCCUGGUGUAGCGGUGGAAUGCGUAGAUAUCAGGAGGAAUACCAGUGGCGAAAGGCGGCUUUCUGGGCCUACCCUGACGCUGAGGAGCGAAAGCGUGGGGAGCAAACCGG
rnacentral:rRNA from 1 species